UAGGGAAUCUUCGGCAAUGGACGAAAGUCUGACCGAGCAACGCCGCGUGAGUGAAGAAGGUUUUCGGAUCGUAAAACUCUGUUGUUAGAGAAGAACAAGGACGUUAGUAACUGAACGUCCCCUGACGGUAUCUAACCAGAAAGCCACGGCUAACUACGUGCCAGCAGCCGCGGUAAUACGUAGGUGGCAAGCGUUGUCCGGAUUUAUUGGGCGUAAAGCGAGCGCAGGCGGUUUCUUAAGUCUGAUGUGAAAGCCCCCGGCUCAACCGGGGAGGGUCAUUGGAAACUGGGAGACUUGAGUUCAGAAGAGGAGAGUGGAAUUCCAUGUGUAGCGGUGAAAUGCGUAGAUAUAUGGAGGACCACCAGUGGCGAAGGCGGCUCUCUGGUCUGUAACUGACGCUGAGGCUCGAAAGCGUGGGGAGCAAACAGG
rnacentral:rRNA from 1 species